rnacentral:tRNA from 1 species
GGUGGGAUGGCCGAGUGGUCGAAGGCACCUGCCUUGAAAGCAGGCGAGGGGGCAACUCCUCCGUGGGUUCGAAUCCCACUCCCACCGCCA